UCUUAAAUUCAUAUUUGAUAAAUACUUUAAUAUAUUUGAGAAAAUCUCUGUACAUAUAAACCCUAAUAUUUUCCAUUAAUAUUAGGUUUAAUUUAUAUUUUUUAUUCAAUUUAUAUAUGGCGGAGACUACCAUGGCGGUGGAUGGAGGCGGAGGCUUCUGUUUCUCUCUCUCUAUCUCCUUGGCAGACUUAGAGUAAGACGGUAAUUGUUUCCUAAACAAAAUAUGUAUUUGUUUCCUGUUACAUUUUCCACUUUUCCUUGAGCUUUUUUUUGUUGUUUAACUCUAGAGCUUUUUGUGAAAAUAAAAGCUAGUUGCACUGUCAUUUUCUUACUAUAUAUGGAACUUUAAUAUUGAAUUGUGAUAAGAUUCUGCUAUUCUGCCAAUUGCUAUUUGAGAAAUUCGAUUUAAUGGUGUUGUCUCUGAAAUAACCUGGAAAAUUGAUUAGUGUAAUCCCUCUGAAAUCAUACAGAGGAUUUUGAGUUUGUUCGGCUCAAAUUUCGGAUUACUGCGUCCAACAAGGUCGGUGUUCAAAACUCUUACUUGAUUUUUGUCAAUAUGUGAUUUUGUAUAUGCCUAGAAACACUGAUUUUAGGGUUGUGUAUUAGAAAUUAUAUCGGCAAAUUGUGGUCAUUGUUUCAACAUGACUGAAAUUAUAUAAAUGUGAGCAUGUUUCUGUGAUUCGAUGCUUGUUUAAAAUACUUUUUUGCAUCUAGAUAAUCAUGUCUUAAGGGAAUGUAAUAUCUGCCCAUUGAUAUUUCUCUAGUCAUGUUUCAGUUUUCUUCUUUCUUCUCUUUAGUUCUACUGUAAUUAAUCUAUAAAGCUUGAUAUGUUAGUAAUAUGGUACUCCUUAAAGUUAUGUGCUUCAAGUCGUUUGUGCUUGGAUUUCUAGUGGGAAUUUGAUACCUGGAUUACGUUUAAUCAUGACUGGACAUAAUUUACCUCCUCCUGCUGUGUUUUCAACUGCUUAACGGGCUAGCACAAUUUACUCUAUUAUGUAGGUUACUUAUUUUGAUGUCUUUAUCUUUAGUACCAAUAGAAGUGUUGAUUGAAAGAAACAUGGUAUACCAAAGAUCAUCCUCUAAGUCAAUGGCUCACAAAUUUCUCUGAAGCAAUCCAGUUUGCAGCUUCACUAUAGUCUUGUUGUGUAGCCCGGAAGAAUUGCAGCUUUAGCAUCUGAAUGAAGGACAAGGCUAGUAUACCUUCGCUAUCAAAGUGCAAGAUCAUAUUGCAAGAUUGAAAAGACAGUUGAGCUUGGUAGAUGGCCAGCAUCAACAAUUGAAAGCUGCCUCUGAUCUGUGAAUGUGUAUUAUCAUAAUAUCUACGACCAUCCAUCCAAUUUUACUCUGCAAAGAGCCCUAAUGAAAGUGUUCUUCUCACUUUUCUUCUCCUUUUUCCCUCUUUUUCUGGUUAUCUUUGACAACAUUAGAAUAAAGAAUUACAAAUGCACCAUCUAGAAGAAGAAAAGAUGUAAUAGGUUCAUUUCUUAGCAGAUUGAUACUGAGAUUAGUCCACUGAAACUUGUGAAACCUUGAUUACAUUUAAUUAUUAGACUUGAUUGUUGUGGUUGUCUUUAGCUACUUAGACUUGAUUGAAUGGGAUUUGAAUGUUUGACUUUAUUUGAUUGUUUAAUGCUUUAGUUAUUUGAAUUC